CGUAUCUCUCACACGCCCAGCGGCAGUACGUGUGUUUGUUCUGAAGGGUGUUUCUCUGCUAAGGGCAAUGCUGUGUUUACAGUAAAGGAUCAGCUCUUUCAUCCUUGGGUUCAAAGCGCCGCCCUAGCCAACGGCAGUGGGCGAGCAGAUACGUACUACCAUUUGAUGAAGGGAGAGGAGAGGGAGGAGAGCAGAAGAUCAGAGGGGAACGGAGGGACACGACAGAGGGGAAGGACAGAUGAGGGAGGAAUAUGAGGGCCAAAUAUAUUUUCUCUUUUUAACAGCCUACAGUUCCUGCAACAGCAAAUCAAUAGUUAUAUACUGCUAUCAGUGGGAAAAUGAGCAGCUCUGUGCACAGCUGCUGACAUCUGUCUGACGAUGUAAUGGAGUGGACUGGAUUUCAGCUCUACAUCAACCUGAGACGUGAGAGCAUGUUGAGAUGAGACAAGGCUACUGAUUGGGACUACUGGGUUGUGUGUGUGUAUCUGUACCUCAUCAUUGUCCGACUCCUUUGUGAACAGGGGACAGAAUGCUGCGAUGAAGGGGGUGGGGUCUGUGGCAGGAGGUGUCACCUUCCAUCUUUCCAUAUACUGACCUUCUGAGGUGACGUGCUCAGCUUGGCUUGGCCCAGCUUGGUGUGUGUGUGUGUGUGUGUGAGUGUGUAUCGUUCUCACUUUGCAAGCCAAUGAAUCAUUUGCAGUGGCGGCUGCUAAGAUGCCUUUGAGGUACAGAGAGCAGCGAGAGAAGGUCAAUUCUCUCAUGAUUCUGUCAACUGUAGGUUUUCAAUCAAGACCCAAGGCCCAUCUAUCUAGCUCUCAAACUUCUGUUCUUACAGAAGAGACAAAACCAAAGGUGUGGAUGUAGGUUUGGGUAUCUUUUGGAUGUUUUCCGAUACCGAUGCUAAAAGGAUACUUUUAAAAAGGUGCCGGUGCCUAAACAGUGCCUCAACCAAUAAAAGAAUAAUAAGAAAAAGAGCACAAAAUGACAGUUGGCAACAUUAGAGAAUGGCUUGUUUAUUGCUUAGGCCAUAUGGUCAAAUUUUAUUUAAAAUUGAAUAACAAUAACUUAUUUCACCAGGUAUUUGCUGCACUUCAAUCCACCAUGAGCUUACGAGGUGCAAUUGAGCGCACCACAGACUCCUGUCUCUGUUGUUUCUUCGACAACUCCGACUCGGGCAGUGGCCAUGGUGUUUAAAAGUGCAGCUAGGCUACUCUGUGUCUUUAGCUGCAGACUCUUUUCAUAUAGACUCUUAGACCGUUUAGCUUUCAGUAUUUUAACCGUGUUAAGGCCAGCUACUAGCUAACAUUACUUGCUGCAGGGCGUAGCGUCUAGCGUCACAUGCAGUGAUGCUUUUGUUGCCUAUAAUGUCUGUUUCGGACCACCAGACGGCAGCGCAGACAUUGAAGUGGCAUCAAAGUGAGGCACCGAAAUUUGCGUUCGGUCGUCUAGAUACAGGUCGUUUAGUAACCGGUGCCAUAUUGGCAUCAGGUUUCGGUACCCAACUCUAUGUGGAUGCCAACAUUAAAACUUCCCUUAUUUCAUCUUCCUUUAAUGGUAUUGAUUGUUGGAUUGCCAGGUCCAAAAGUGAAAAUUUAAAGCUGAGUAAAUAGCUCCUAGAUCUAUCAACCUAUCUAUCGCUUUCCAUUGUGGUUUUGGUAUUUAUUUGUCUUUUAAUAUACUAUACACCUUUGUGUCUGUAAGCAGAUGCUUCCAUACAGGGCACAAAAAGUCACUGAAUGGUUUGAUGUGAAUCAUAUGCUUUCACAGUUACCAGAUCUCAAUCCAGACGAACACCUGAGAAUUUGGAGUAUUUAAAAGCUCUCCACCACCAUCAUUGAAGCACCAAAUGAAGGAAUAUCUUUUAGAAGAAUGCUGUUAAUUCCUCCUGUAAAGAUCAGAGACUUGGAGAAUGUAUGCCUAAUACUCUGUUUUGGAUGCUUGUGGUGGAACAAUCUUACUAAGACAUUAUGCUGUUUUCUUCUUUAAUUUGAUAUGCAUAUUGAUUGGUUUUGUACGUCACAGCGUUUGGAACACCAAAUACCACUGUUAUGUUGUAUCUUUUAGUAUUAAUAGUAGGAAACAGCCUAGAUGUUUAUUUGCAUAAA